rnacentral:lncRNA from 1 species
UCCCUCAGGAAAGCCUGAUUUCAACCUGGAGAGCACGAAAGCAAUUCAGAAUUGGCUCCUCAACCUCUGCAGAAAAGGGAGCACCAAUCUUUUUAAUUGUAAUUUCAUGCAUGCUCCUCAGAUUACUAAAUUGUUCAUCAUUGGGACAUCUCUGUGUGCGAUGAGCAAAAUACGACAACAACUUCAAUCGAGAGAGACAAGGCGGGGAAGGGAGAGGGAGGAAGGGAGGUGAUUGCAAGAUGUGUGCUAGGGUUUCAGCUUUGUUUGGGCUGGGCUUCAUUGAGAUCUAUAAAGCCAUUUGUUUUCUCAUGCCUUGUUUCCAAAAUUCUUUUUAAUUCUACAUUUUCAUAGGAAAUUUUUGGGUUCUGAUAUCUGAUUUCCAAAGCUAUUAGGUUUUUAAUUUUCAAUCUUAAACAUUCUUUAUUUUCAAUCUUAAACAUUCAAUUUUUGUAUAAAUUAAUACCAUGUAACCUUGUCAUAACCAAAAAUUUAUAUGUUUCUUAAUACGUCGUUCAUAAUAUAAGUUAAGUCAGUUUGUCAUAUUUCCAUAGAACAGAAUAGUUUGCAAAAUCAUCAUUUUGCAAAAUGGAAAAAUAUUUAUAUGAAAACUUAAUUUAUUCUUUUCCUCUUUUGGUUACAACUCUACUUAAUUUACUCACAAGUCACAACACACACCCUAAAGCUAAAUUUACUCAAAACACCCCAGCUUCCCCUAUUAACAUCCUCAUUCAAAAUUGUGGACACUAGUUUGGUUUUUGCACAAUUAAAUUGGAGUAUUAUAAAAUAAAAAAAUUAAAAAAAUUAAACAAUAAUCAAACCCAGUAGUGCCUCAAAAAGUAGUUGGACUGUUAAGAAAACCAGAUAGUAAUCAAAACAUAAAAUAUAAUUAUAGCUACAUUUAGAAACACAGAUAAAAUUCUCCCCUCCAGGAGUUGCAUCUAUUGUGGACUACAACAUUGAUUACCAAACAUGUAUAUAUGGUACCAAACCCGACAGAAAAAACAUAAAUACAUAUUUUUAUCACAAAUGGUCCUUUAUCUUUUACCAACUCAUCAGUUUGGUCCUUUGUGUUUCAAGCUCAUCAAUUUCGUCCCUUAUCUAUUUUAACGGAAUUUAAUGGUAAGGAUUACAUUGAUGAGUGAGACAGUAGAUAAGGGACGAAAUUGGAUGAUAUUGUGAUGAAGAUUCAUGUGAAGAACCUUCAUUUCGCGACUGUGGUGAAGACCAUGUUCUUCGUGGGUGGACAAAAUCUAGAUAUUCCAAAUGUCUAUUUGUUUGAAACGGAAGAAUUCAAUUUCAAUGCCAACAAUCUACUUUUAUGUAAAGAAACAUUUUGUUCGUAUAAUUUCAACACAAGACACUCAUAAUUCGAGAGAGAAUUCUCUUUGAACUAGUGAGGAUGAUGCAUGAUGGAAAAUGAAACAUGAAAUAUGUGAAACAGAAGAGUUGGAAGCAUUGAAUUUUAUUUAAUGCAUUAAAUAUAUGUUAGAUGAACUAGGCAUAUGAAGGGAUCUUUUGCUAAUCACAGAAUUGCAAAACUAGGAGACGAUAGGUAUCAAAGACCCAAAUAUACGCCUCUAAUCGUGAAAAGGGUUUUACAUCAAGAAAACAUCAUGAUCGAAUUCAUGUUGAUCAACUUUAGGGAAACAUGAUUUCUAUGAUAAAAUCAAGAAAAGCACUGUGAUCGAAUUUCUCCUUAUCAAAUUUAGGGAAAUACGAGUACGAUAAACUAGUUGAAAUGCAAAAAUAGGGUCAUCACUUUAUCAUGAUUCGAAUUUUUUCCACCGACACCAUUCAUUAUAAAAUGAGAUUGAUAUCUAUUUUAGCGAUUGCACCUCUUUUGCCCCGAGUAGGAAUCAAAGAGUCGCAUCCUAGUUCGUGUCAGUCAUAGAAACCAAUUGACCCCCAAAGAUCCAAUUGUCUCAUUGUUGUGUUUAAUAGAAGUAAUAGUGGCUACCUACGUUGCAAUCUGUAUGCCAAUCCUUUCUAGGGCUCCGUUGUAUUCUGUCCAUUUGGACUUUGUUUUAUGAAUGUUCUCUACCUUCUGACAAAAAAAAAGUAAUAGUGGCUAGAUCAAAGUGAAUGGAUACUUCUCUAGUUUUCAUUCCAAAUUUCCAAUAGCAAGAAAGAAGAAUUAUUUAGUUGGUCUUUCUUUUGUGGCUUGAUGUCUAUCAUAUCUCUUUUGUAUUGUAUUAGGUUUACCACUAUACAUACAGUAACAUAUAUAAUAAUUAUUCUAUCAUUAUUUACUUUACAGACGUUUUUUUUGGAUAUCAAAUAUAUCAAUGUCACAUCGGUUGUACCUUGUGCUCGGGUAAGAUCACAAUUAGGGACGACCAACGAAAUUCAGAAUUUGUUUUUGAGGUCGGCGCUUGGGUUUCUGAACCCGAACAUACUCUCUGGGGUAUGUAAAGCAUAGAGGAGUUACGUAAAACGUAGCCGUUGAAUUUAAAUUUGGACCGUUAGAUAAUUUUUUUUAUCAUUGGAUUUCAUCAAAUUAGAUCUUAACCGUUGGAUUAAAUGAAUUUAUAAAUAUAUAAUUAAAAAAAAUAUACAUAUAUGGUGGGUCAGCCUCACUAACCUAUGGAAGAAUUAAUCUUGAGCUAAAUUUGGCCCAUAAAUGAGUUUUGAGUUUUAACUCAUAUUAGCCUCAAGGGUUGGAGCAAGUUGGGGUAAGUUUAGAAUCUAAAAUUUGAGUUUUUACUCCAAGGGUUGGAGUAGGUCCAAGGGUUCUCUUCUCCUCUUGAGCUAAGUGAAUUGUUGCUCUUGGUGUCUCUUCUCCCUUUCCCAAACCCUCUAAAUAGUGGCUAGGAGGAGAGGAGAAAAAGAAAUUAUCGAACGUGGGACAGAAGACCCCAAUAGCAAAACACCCUAAUUUGGGUGGAUUAAUUAUUGGUUUGAUAACGUGAAGUCAAAGUGGAAGACUUGUUUUCCCCUUCCCAUGGGUCUGCUCUUUAACAUCCAUGCAUGGUUGGUACCUAAGAUUAUAUUGGAAUAGAAUGAAAUGGAUGGACUACUAAAUUUGGGGAUUAUUCUUUAAAAAAUUGGGAUAAAAACACAUGUUUUAGUUUUAUUAGCAGGAAACAUCGUAUAACAGUCUAUUCGUAUUGUACAAGUCAUUUUCUCGGUGAGCAGAAGGAUUUUGGGCACACCACAGAUGAAUACUGGAACUCAUAAAUUUAAAGAGCAUCUUGUACCACAGGAAACCAAUAAUAUAAUAGAGAGUUGACGAGUUGGCAAUAGGAGCAACUAUAUGUACAGUAACGGCAGCACUUUACAGUUUGAGAAAGCAGUAUCUUUAUUAAGUUAUCUCAACCUCUGCACUCUGUUAUGUUGAAAACUGAAAUAGUAAGGAACGAGUUAUCCGAAAAAUGUAAAAGCCUUGAGUGGUGAAUAAUUUUUAGGAUGAGUCGCGGAUUAAGUCGUUCUCUUUAAGAUAUAUAUUUUUUUCGUAUAUUUCCAAUGAUUCCAGGGACACCUAUAUAUACAUUUAGAAUAAAGAGACGUUGAAGAUUUGAGAGAAUUGAAAGCAAGACAAAAUCAAAACGUAAGUCAAAUAAAAUGGUUUGAUUAUGUAUCAUGUCAGAAUUUUCUUCUCUACUCAGAGAAGUAAUGGCGCCUUUCAAACUUAAAAGGAGAUAACUCCUUAAUUGAAAAGUCAAUGGCAUGUUUCAAACUUAAAAAGCUGUAACUCCUUAUCUCAUUGAAAAAUUAAAAUCAAUUGGCUGUUAUGCAUAGAAUAAUGAUAAUAAAACAAAACAUAAAUAUAUUUAAAUAUUUAAAUAAAAACAUAUUUACUUCAAUAUGUUGUUUCCUACGUUCCACGACAAAACGUUAAACGUGGCACUGCCAUUACCAACAACACGCGAUAAACACCCCCCUUCCCUCCAUUUCCACCACGCAGACUCGCUGACUUCGACCAAGGAUCAGAAACCAGACAACAAUGGCGGAGGUCGAAGUUAACGACGAGAACCAGCAGCUCAAGAGCAGCGCCAUAGUGGUCCCUAACCCAAAACCCAACAAGGGUUUUUCUUCAAAAGUGGUGGACUUGAUCGAGAAGCUGAUCGUGAAGUGGAUGUACGACUCUUCUCAGCCUCACCACGACCUCGCUGGCAACUUUGCUCCGGUGGCUGAUGAAACUCCUCCCACCACCAACCUCCCUGUCAUCGGCCAUCUUCCUGUACCUCUCUCUCUCUUUAUCUCUCUCUCUCUCUCUCAAUUGCCAAUUGUCCUGCCAAUGACAUGCCAUGUAUGAAAUGCAGGAGUGCUUAAAUGGAGAGUUUGUCAGGGUGGGGCCCAACCCAAAGUUUGCACCAGUUGCUGGAUAUCACUGGUAUGUCUCUGUUAGUUGUUGGAAAUAAUGUUUCAGAGAUUAGUCAUCUGUGUUUUGUGCUGAUGUUCCUUAUUGCUAUCCUUGCAGGUUUGAUGGAGAUGGGUGAGUGAUUCCCCUGUUUUUUUUUUUCCAUUUUUCACAUCAAUAUUUAUGUUUUGAUUUCAAGUUUUCUGAACAAUUUGUUUGUAGUGUAAUUAUGUUAUUGAAUUCAAUUUCCAUGCUAAAAUUGAGAUAAGCCAUAAAUAGCUUAAAUUGUUUCUAUUCAGUAUUCGUGUCGUUGGCCGAAUUGGUAAAGUCACUGAAUCAGUGUUGGGGAAUAUUGGAAGAGUAUCUUCUGUUAAGGAUUCAGUACGACUGUUUUUUCUUGCUAUUGUAAAAUGUGGCUAGUUGUGCUUCAUUACUCCCUAAUUACUCUUAUCUUCGUCGUGUUCUCCACUUUCUAUUUGCUUGCUUGCUUUCUCGAGGUAGACUUUUCGGAGAACUGUUUCUCGGUGCAUUUGGUGAAAUAUGCAUCUGUUUUCCAGCAUGUACGCAUUGAUUGUUUACGCACCUUCAUUUCUGGUACUGCAUUCAAUGAUUUAUUUUACGGCUCAGCGUUAAGAUUUACAGUUAUUGCUCUUUUAGAUUGUUAUAAGUUAUGAUAUUUCCUUGGUUUAAUUGUGUGUAUCAAAUUAUAAAUUGGACAAAGCAAGUAAAGGUAUACAUGUUAUUGUUAACAUUUUGCAGUAUGGUUCAUGGUAUGCGCAUCAAAGAUGGAAAAGCAACUUAUGUCUCCCGCUACGUAAGGACGUCACGUCUUAAGCAAGAAGAAUAUUUUGGAGGUUCUAAAUUUAUGAAGGUAUAUCAUUGCAAUUUGGUUUACGCUUGUGCCAUACACGUUAGUUGGGAGAUUCCUUUCUUACGUUCCUCAAUGUGUCAUUUCCAGAUUGGAGACCUUAAGGGGUUUCUCGGCUUAUUCAUGAAGAGCUUGCAAAUGCUAAGAGAAAAACUGAAAAUAUUAGAUAUGUCUUAUGGUUUUGGGACUGGUAAGGUGUUCUUGUGCGAAAUGUUUUUUUAACCGCAACAAUUUUUAUUUUCUGUACAAUUUUGAAAGCAGUUUUCCAUGCAUUAUCCUGUUUUAAAGUUAAUGUCAAAACUGCGACAAUUUCUUGGCUUUAAUGCCUUUGGUUACUGAUAUUUGUAUAGGAUUUUAAAUCCAUACACCACAAUUUAGUAUGCAUGGACACGUCCGGUUGUGAAAGUUGGGGGUAAGGCUAGCCAAUAUUCACCUCUUCCAGACCCUGCGUAAAGCGGGAGCCUUGUGCACUGGGUAUGACGACACCUUGAUUGAAGUAAAAUUUACAUAGUUGAAAUUUGCGUAGUUAAAAUUUACAUGUUACCAUUUAUGAAAUUUUCAUGCCUCUUAAAUUUUAUCCUUGAAAUCCUGGCUAAUGAAGAAAUCGUGUCCUUUUACUUGCCUAAGAAAGCAGUGAACAUAAAUAACUGUUUUCUACAUUUCCAGGUAACACAGCUCUCACAUAUCACCAUGGGAAGCUUCUAGCUCUUCACGAGGCGGAUAAACCUUGUAAGCAGAACUCACCCAUUUUCUUGCAUCUACUUUUCAAUUUCAAUCAAUUCAAGGAUCCUUUGGGAUGAAGAGAUUACUUGUUCUUGGAUUGCACAACUUCUUUUGAUGCAAUAUAGAUGACUGGUUUUUGUGGUUGAGAAAAAGAAAAAGCCUUGAAAUGGAAACCUUUGUGUCGCCUCCUAUAUAUUUCCAGGACUAAGACAUAUUGGUACUUUUUUUUUCUUUUCUGUUUCAGUGGAACUGAAGUUGCUUAUGUUGCAUUAGCAAUGAAAUAGAAACAAUUUGUGUUGCCUCGUAUAUUUCUGCGGGACUCAAACAUAUUGGUACUCUUGUCUAUUUCUAGUUUGUAAAGGAAACUGUUCGUUUUGCAUUAUGCAGAUGUCCUCAAAGUUUUGGAAGAUGGAGAUCUGCAAACGGUUGGCUUGCUGGAUUAUGAUAAGAGACUGACACAUUCCUUCACUGCUCAUCCAAAGGUUGACCCAUUCACUGGUAAGUACAUUUUCAUAAUAAUGUAUUUCUUCAGCCUUAUAAGGAGAUUUUCCUGUCAACUUAUGAAGUACAUAAUGCAGGUGAGAUGUUUACAUUUGGCUAUUCAUGGACUCCGCCAUAUGUCACUUACAGAGUUAUUUCGAAGGAUGGUUUCAUGCAUGACCCUAUACCGAUAACAAUACCAGACCCUGUCAUGAUGCAUGAUUUUGCAAUUACUGAGAACUAUGCAAUUUUCAUGGAUCUCCCCCUGAUCUUCAAACCAAAGGUCUGAAAUUAUUUUCAUCUAGUUUUUUCUAUGCAUUCUUGGGCUUGUUGCUAAAAGCUUAAGCUUUUUCGAUCAACAUUACUCAAUAUGGUAUUGUGUUCGAGUGUUGAUCCAAAUGAUUCAUGGACAUUGAGUGGCACUACCCACUUCUAUUCCACUUAAGUUUUGGAUCAAUGAAUAACUUAACAGUAAUUAUUCUGAACAUUAAACAAUCACAUUAAAAUGAGAUUUAACAUGUUAUUAUUUUUCUUUUUUUUCCAGGAAAUGGUUAAGGAACAAAAGUUGAUAUUCACAUUUGAUCAAACAAAAAAAGCUCGCUUUGGUUUACUUCCACGGUAUGCAAAGGAUGAGUUGCUAAUCAGAUGGUUCGAGCUUCCAAAUUGCUUCAUUUUCCAUAAUGGUGCGCAUAUUUGCUUCCUAUCGUAGUGCAACAAAACAAUGUCUUUGAAACAAGUAUUGUUUUUUUAGUAAGUUCAAUAUAUAUUUAAAAUACCUGCAUGCUAUUAAAAUUUAAUUGGUGAAGCACAGCAUACACUGUUAAAGAAGUGCUGCAAUUCCUUUACUUUUAUUAUUCUUUUGAGGCAUUACUAAGAAGGGUUAUCAUCUGAGGAGCGUGAUCACUUUCUACUAAAAAAAUGUUGUGACUUUCACCCUUUUUUUUUUCUGAAAUCUUAAAUUUGUUUUACGGUGUAUCAAUUGAGCCCUGUAUCCUUGCUGUUUUGGCAGUUUUUUUUCCUUGCUACUUGUAGUUGGGUUCAAACCAAUAUGUUCUAUGUAGGUUUCUGCCUAUCAGCUCCCUUCCUAUGCAUACCACCUGUCUGAUUCAGGCCGCAAAAAUCCUACCAGCUAUCUAGAAUUUUUAUUAUUUUUCUUUCUGUUCCAUUGAUCUUUAUGUUAAUUCAGUUUUUCUUCUCGGUUUCAUAGAGUAGUACUGAUCUAACUUCCAGUUCCAUAUUAUCCUUGAAUUCCUCUAGCUAAAAUUCCAGACCACCUGAACUUAUCAAGGCUUACGGAAGUUAUUUUAGCCCCCUUUGAUUAAGUUCAGGUUUGUCUGCAUCAUAUGCUGACUAGGAGGGAAUUGUUCUUCUCUGACUCCCAUCUACCGACGAAUAACCGAUCAACCAUUACAUCUGUUAUUCUUUUUGGUAACUUUUCCUUAAUGUAAAUUGGGACCUUUUUGGAUUAACCAAUAUGCCAAAAUUCUGGUAUAUCCUUGACUGACUUGGAAGAAUAUUAGUUGAUAUGGCACAAUUGUAACUCCACGUUAUUCAUUUCAGUCUGGAAGUAGUUUAGAUUUCUGCAAAUCAUAAUUUAUAGUUCAACAGUCUGCAAAGUGGUUUUCUGUCUAUUCAUGUGCAUGUAAUGAAAACAGAAAUGAAAUGGCUCUGUUAGUUUGUCCUGUUCAGUCCCGGAACUUUACUAAUGACCGGAUUUUUGUUCAAAAUGUGUAACUUAUAGUUACUGUCGAUUGGUUCAACAAUAGUACCUAUGAUCAUGCAUGGUUCGUGUUUACACUAUGCUUAAAGCUCUUUCUUGUCUACGUUCUGAUGGUUUGCCCUUUUUUUCCCCUUUUAUGUAGCUAAUGCUUGGGAGGAGGAGGAUGAAGUUGUUUUAAUCACAUGCCGCUUUGAGAAUUUUGAUUUGGAAAUGUUCAAAGAAAAGCUUGAAAACUUCAGAAAUGAGCUGUAAGAGAUUUUGACAGAUGUUGCUGACUUGAUUCCUUGAGAGAUGGUGCUUCUGACUGUUCUAAUUAUUUUCAGGUACGAAAUGAGAUUCAACUUGAAAACUGGUCUAGCAUCCCAAAAGAAACUAUCAGAAGCGGCUGUAGAUUUUCCCAGGGUGAAUGAGAGCUACACCGGAAGGUACGCAUAUCCUUUCCCUGGGAGCUGCCUAGUGUUCUUUUAGGCUAGUGUAACAUUCAUGUUUACUUAUUUCAUCAAUUAACUUGUGUGAAAUCAGGAAGCAGCGUUAUGUGUACGGAACCUUGCUGGACAGCAUUUUCAAGGUUACAGGAGUAGCCAAGUUUGAUCUGCAUGCUGAACCAGAGGUUGGAAAAACACAAAUUGAGGUUGGAGGAAAUGUCCAAGGCCUCUAUGACCUGGGACCUGGCAGAUUUGGUUCUGAGGCUAUUUUUGUCCCUCGCACUCCUGGCGUUACUUCUGAAGAAGAUGAUGGCUACUUAAUACUCUUUGUUCAUGACGAGAACACUGGGUACUAUUUUCAUUUCUCAGACUAUUUUUUUUUUUCCGCUGGAUAUUCUUAUAAACCAUAAUAUAAGUUUCUUUAUACCUCUCCGUGCUUAUGCUUUUGAAGCUGAGUAAACCGGUGUUACCAGCGGUUAUGCAGUGACGUGCGUGUGAAGUUCAAUCUUCUUGAGGACAGACUGCAAUCUAAACUUGCAUUUUGAUCAUGCAGAAAAUCAGCAAUUCAUGUAGUUGAUGCAAAGACAAUGUCACCAGACCCCGUUGCAGUUGUGGAAUUGCCACACAGAGUUCCAUACGGUUUGCAUGCUAUCUUCGUGACAGAGGUCAGCGCCACUUCAAUUGUUCCGAAGAUGCACCUUAAUCUUUACUUCAUUCUGCAUCAUGCAGUGCACAUAUUCACACGAAGAUUGGGAUCAUGCAGAUCAGUUUUAUUUGAUUUAAUUUGACUCAAAACUGCCUUCUAAGUUCUAACCCGGUGCUUGCUUGCGUUUAUGUUUCGUUCUCCUACUCUUACCAUUCCUUUUCUUGGUAGCGCGCUUCUGAUGUAAAUUACGGUUUCUUGAACAGGAGCAAUUGCAAGAACAAGCGAAGCUCUAAUUGUUCGAUCAUUGGAAGAACCCGCAAGGGAAGGCAGGCCACUGUAAUAUAAUGUAUACACCUCUGUAUUUAAACUACUCUUGUGAUUUAUACUUGUUGCUAACAAAUUCGACUGCAAUCGAUAAUAUAAUGAUCGAACAAAAUGUAUACACCUCUGUAUUUAAACUACUCUAUUAGUCUGUUGUGUUUUAAUUACUUGGAACAAAAUGAAUCAAUACCUAUACCAUCUUGAUUAAUGUUAAUUAUAUACUUGGAUGCAUUUUCCGUUUUUCUUAUUUGCAUGGGGUUCGUUUUUAUGAUUGCAAUAUCGAUUGCGGUCGAAUUUGUUAGCAACAAGUUUAAGUGGUAAUUAAUUUUUGUCUCUCCUCUUGUGAUUUUAGCUUACAAAUCUUAAUUAUCUACCUCUUGGUGUAUACGACGGCUAAAUCUUACAAAUCUUAAUUAUCUCCCUCUUGAUGUAUACAACGGCUAAAUCUUUUCUUCUCUAACAAGUCAUCUUGAUACUUGAAAGUGAUAGCUUGAAGAUUGAAGGUAGGUACCAAGUCAUCACAAAUGAGGAAAAAUUGGCAAGCUUAUUGAACUAUAGGCUUCAACGUCUACAAUGAUGAUAUAACAAAGAGGGAACCCAAAUGACAAUAUUACCAUCCUCCCAAUUUGACUUAAAAUGUGAAGGUUGAAAUCUUUCAAUCUAUUUCUUUCUUUUGAACAAACGAUAUUUUAUUUUAAACUAAUCUAUACUGUGAUGAUGGAAAUUCAAACUCGAGUGCAUAAGAGAUCACAUUCACACUAGUUAAUGUGGCAUGUCAAAGGAACCUAAAUGACAACAUCACCAUCCAAUUUAUGUUUUCAGCUCAAAUCAAUCACAAUUACAAGAAAUUGGAGGUCUAUAUGACCAGAUUAGACAAACCACAUUUUUGGCCGAGUAACAUAAGGUGUUUGAUUAUCUGGCCCGAACCGCUUCGUGGACCUAAAAACAAAAAGAUCGAGACAUCACUAAUUUUGAUUAAUGUCAACGAUCAAGUCUAAAAGAUUGCUCAUUUUAUGACCAAAAUGUCAAGGAUUCAAGUUGUGAAAACAAUCUCCUUGCAAAAAAAAGGUAAGGCUAUGUACGAAAAAACGUUCAUUUUUCAACCCUCGCAAAGCGAGAAGCCUUGUUGACUUGGGAUCGCCCAACGACAUUAGUUUUUAUUUAUGACUUCCUCGAUUCAUAACUUUGACCAAUCCAAAUAAGCAUUGCUUUAUCUCAGCAAUUUGGUUCCUACUUGUAUCAAACUCACUAAUCCUAAACAAAGCAUCUUCUUGGUUUCUAGCUACAAGCACAAUGGAUGAACAAAGAAUAACUAAUUUGCUUAACAAGUAAACAAAAAAAAAAAAAACAUAAAAACUAGAAAAUUGAAAAACCUCAAACAAAUUAAGCAUAUAUGAAUCAAUGUUUCUAAAAAGCAAAAUAUGGUGAAAGAAAAAGAAAGAAAAUCCCUCAGGAAAGCCUGGUUUCAACCUGGAGAGCACGAAAGCAAUUAAGAAUUGGCUCCUCAACCUCUGCAGAAAAGGGAGCACCAAUUUUUUAAUUGUAAUUUCAUGCAUUCUCCUCAGAUUACUAAAUUGUUCAUCAUUGGGACAUCUCUAGCUGCUUUUACAGACAGACAGACAACUUCAAUCGAGAGAGAGAAGGCGGGGAGGGACGGGAGGAAGGUAGGUUUUAGAUUGCAAGAUGUGUGCUAGGGUUUCAGGUUUGUUUGGACUGGUUAUCACGUGGUCCACUGCCUUCCAUCCAGAUAUUGCACUUUGGGCUGGGCUUCAUUGAGAUCUAGAAAACCUUUUGUUUUCUCAUGCCUUGUUUCCAAAAUUCUUUUUAAUUCUACAUUUUCAGAGGAAGUUUUUGGGUUCUGAUUAUCUGAUUUCCAAAACUGUUAGGUUUUUUAUUUAGGAAAAUUAAUAAAAAAAGAUUUAAAAAUUUUGAAUUUUAACGAUAAGGAUAAAAUAAAGGGUAAAGUGAAUAGUAUCAGAAUUGAUUUUUUAAUGUAAAAAUGUGGUUUUUCGUUAAAGUGAACAGUAUCAGAAGCUUUUCAUUAAAUUUUCCUUUUUAUUUUCAAUCUUAAACAUUCAAUUUUCGUAUAAAUUAAUACAAUGUAACCUUGUCAUAACCAAAAAUUUAUAUGUUUCUCAAUACGUCGUUCAUGAUAUAAGAUAAGUCAGUUUGUCAUCUUUCCAUAGACCAGAAUAGUUUGCAAAAUCAUCGUUUUGCAAAAUGGAAAAAUAUUUAUAUGAAAACUUAAUUUAUUCUUUUCCUCCUUUGGUUACAACUCUACUUAAUUUACUCACAAGUCACAACACACAUCCUAAAGCUAAAUUUACUCAAAACACCCCAGCUCCCCCUAUUCACAUCCUCAUUCAAAAUUGUGGAAACUAGUUUGGUUUUUGCACAAUUAAACUGGAGUGUUGUAAAAAUACGUAACAAUAAUCAAACCCAGUAGUGCCUCAAAAAGUAGUUGGACUGCUAAGAAAACCAGAUAAUUAUAGCUACAUUUAGAAACACAGAUCAAAUUCUCCCCUCCAGGGAUGGGAAAUAGUCUUUUCAGGAGUCACCACAACCCUAAAUUUCGUCCGAAACCCAAGUCACAACACACUUUCGAAAAUCAAAAUACCUGCAGUGUUUAGAAUCUACACAUUCACAACUAAUUUUCUGGUUUUAAGUUCCCAACUGAUGCCUUUUGUUACUGUUUCUACAACAGGAGUGAGUGCAAGCGAUGGCAGG